rnacentral:rRNA from 1 species
AUGGAGAGAGCGGGAGCACCGGAUCCAGGUGAGUCUCCAACUAUAAAAUCGCGCUCGCCGGGGGAUCGAGCCAUGCCUAUCAUCUCUAUCUACCCGUCGAUCGAUCUGCCGGAAUCGAUUCAUACUAUUUUUUCUCGAAGUUUGUCGUCAAUCAAGUCCCAGGCCAUUAGUCCCGACGAGACGGCAUUGUCGUACGCGUAUGUGCCGCUGGCCCAGUCCAAAUCCAUGGAGGAGCGCUGGAGCUGGGGCGGGGUCAGGUGGCGCGCGUGCGUCGGCAUGCUAGCCGCGUCGGCCGAGGUGGUGGUGGUGGUGGCCAACGCGCUGGCCGGGUCCAGCAGGGUGGAGAGGGUCGUGCACGGCGAUGUGGUGACGGACAUGCCGCGGCUGGCGGAGAUGGCACGAAGCCUGGACAGGGAACUGUAUGUCGUUGUCAAGCCUGACUGCUCUCUUUCUCUCAGCUCACCCACGGACAAAGGUGGACGAAAGUGA